rnacentral:rRNA from 1 species
AACCUCCGCAAUGUGAGAAAUCGCGACGGGGGGAUCCCAAGUGCCAUUCUUAACGGGAUGGCUUUUCAUUAGUGUAAAGAGCUUUUGGAAUAAGAGCUGGGCAAGACCGGUGCCAGCCGCCGCGGUAACACCGGCAGCUCUAGUGGUAACAAUUUUUAUUGGGCCUAAAGCGUCCGUAGCCGGUUUAAUAAGUCUCUGGUGAAAUCCUGUAGCUUAACUGUGGGAAUUGCUGGAGAUACUAUUAGACUUGAGACCGGGAGAGGUUAGAGGUACUCCCAGGGUAGAGGUGAAAUUCUGUAAUCCUGGGAGGACCGCCUGUUGCGAAGGCGUCUAACUGGAACGGUUCUGACGGUGAGGGACGAAAGUUAGGGGCGCGAGCCGGAUUAGAUACCCGGGUAGUCCUAACUGUAAACGAUGCGGACUUGGUGUUGGGGUGGCUUUGAGCUGCUUCAGUGCCGAAGGGAAGCUGUUAAGUCCGCCGCCUGGGAAGUACGGUCGCAAGACUGAAACUUAAAGGAAGU